AUUUAUUAAAUUAAACUCUAUUUUAAUCAUGUUUACAAAAAAAAAAAUUUAAAAAAAUCUAUGAAGAAAACCUUUAAGUGAUUGUAUUUAGUACAAUUAGUUAAAAAUUUAGAGUUUUAAUAUCAGAAUAUAAUUAUUUUAUAUUUUUAGUUAAAUUUAUUUUCAAAAUAAUGAAAGAAGCAGGAGCUUGCUACAUUUCCAUGCAAUAAAUCAACAA
rnacentral:lncRNA from 1 species